rnacentral:rRNA from 1 species
GAUGAACGCUGGCGGCGUGCUUAACACAUGCAAGUCGAACGGUGAACGAGGGAGCUUGCUCCCUCCGGAUCAGUGGCGAACGGGUGAGUAACACGUGAGCAAUCUGCCCUGGACUCUGGGAUAAGCGUUGGAAACGACGUCUAAUACCGGAUACGAGGCGUGGGGGCAUCCCCAACGCCUGGAAAGAACUUCGGUCCAGGAUGAGCUCGCGGCCUAUCAGCUAGUUGGUGAGGUAACGGCUCACCAAGGCGACGACGGGUAGCCGGCCUGAGAGGGUGACCGGCCACACUGGGACAGAGACACGGCCCAGACUCCUACGGGAGGCAGCAGUGGGGAAUAUUGCACAAUGGGCGCAAGCCUGAUGCAGCAACGCCGCGUGAGGGACGACGGCCUUCGGGUUGUAAACCUCUUUUAGCAGGGAAGAAGCGAAAGUGACGGUACCUGCAGAAAAAGCACCGGCUAACUACGUGCCAGCAGCCGCAGUAAAAC